CCUACGGGAGGCUGCAGUGAGGAAUAUUGGUCAAUGGGCGGAAGCCUGAACCAGCCAAGUCGCGUGAGGGAAUAAGGCCCUACGGGUCGUAAACCUCUUUUGCCGGGGAGCAAGGGCGGGGACGUGUCCCGGCCCGGAGAGUACCCGGAGAAAAAGCAUCGGCUAACUCCGUGCCAGCAGCCGCGGUAAUACGGAGGUUGCGAGGGUUAUCCGGAUGUAUUGGGGUUAAAGGGUGCGUAGGCGGGCUUUUAAGUCAGCGGUAAAAAUUCGGGGCUCAACCCCGUCCGGCCGUUGAAACUGGGGGCCGUGAGUGGGCGAGAAGCAGGCGGAAUGCGUUGUGUAGCGGUGAAAUGCAUAGCUAUCACGAAGAACCCCGAUUGCGAAGGCAGCCUUCCGGCGCCCUACUGACGCUGAGGCACGAAAGUGCGGGGAUCGAACAGGAUUAGAUACCCGUGUAGUC
rnacentral:rRNA from 1 species